UACGAAGGGGGCUAGCGUUGCUCGGAAUGACUGGGCGUAAAGGGCGCGUAGGCGGAUGACACAGUCAGAUGUGAAAUUCCCGGGCUUAACCUGGGGGCUGCAUUUGAUACGUGUUGUCUAGAGUGAGGAAGAGGGUUGUGGAAUUCCCAGUGUAGAGGUGAAAUUCGUAGAUAUUGGGAAGAACACCGGUGGCGAAGGCGGCAACCUGGUCCUUGACUGACGCUGAGGCGCGAAAAGCGUGGGGGAGCAAACAGG
rnacentral:rRNA from 1 species